rnacentral:rRNA from 1 species
UACGAAGGGGGCUAGCGUUGCUCGGAAUUACUGGGCGUAAAGGGCGCGUAGGCGGCACUGUUAGUCAGGCGUGAAAGUCCUGGGCUCAACCUGGGAACUGCGCUUGAUACGGCAGAGCUAGAGGAUGGAAGAGGCUCGCGGAAUUCCCAGUGUAGAGGUGAAAUUCGUAGAUAUUGGGGAAGAACACCGGUGGCGAAGGCGGGCGAGCUGGUCCAUUACUGACGCUGAGGCGCGACAGCGUGGGGGAGCAAACAGG